UACAGAGGUCUCAAGCGUUGUUCGGAUUCAUUGGGCGUAAAGGGUGCGUAGGCGGCGCGGUAAGUCGGGUGUGAAAUCUCGGAGCUUAACUCCGAAACUGCAUUCGAUACUGCCGUGCUUGAGGACUGGAGAGGAGACUGGAAUUUACGGUGUAGCGGUGAAAUGCGUAGAUAUCAGGAGGAACACCGGUGGUGUAGACGGCUUACUGGACCAUAACUGACGCUGAGACACGAAAGCGUGGGUAGCAAACAGG
rnacentral:rRNA from 1 species